UGUAACGGGGCUAAACCAUGCACCGAAGCUGCGGCAGCGACGCUUAUGCGUUGUUGGGUAGGGGAGCGUUCUGUAAGCCUGUGAAGGUGUGCUGUGAGGCAUGCUGGAGGUAUCAGAAGUGCGAAUGCUGACAUAAGUAACGAUAAAGCGGGUGAAAAGCCCGCUCGCCGGAAGACCAAGGGUUCCUGUCCAACGUUAAUCGGGGCAGGGUGAGUCGACCCCUAAGGCGAGGCCGAAAGGCGUAGUCGAUGGGAGACAGGUUAAUAUUCCUGUACUUGGUGUUACUGCGAAGGGGGGACGAGAAGGCUAUGUUGGCCGGGCGACGGUUGUCCCGGUUUAAGCGUGUAGGCUGGUUUUCCAGGCAAAUCCGGAAAAUCAAGGCUGAGGCGUGAUGACGAGGCACUACGGUGCUGAAGCAACAAAUGCCCUGCUUCCAGGAAAAGCCUCUAAGCAUCAGGUAACAUCAAAUCGUACCCCAAACCGACACAGGUGGUCAGGUAGAGAAUACCAAGGCGCUUGAGAGAACUCGGGUGAAGGAACUAGGCAAAAUGGUGCCGUAACUUCGGGAGAAGGCACGCUGAUAUGUAGGUGAAGUCCCUCGCGGAUGGAGCUGAAAUCAGUCGAAGAUACCAGCUGGCUGCAACUGUUUAUUAAAAACACAGCACUGUGCAAACACGAAAGUGGACGUAUACGGUGUGACGCCUGCCCGGUGCCGGAAGGUUAAUUGAUGGGGUCAGCGCAAGCGAAGCUCUUGAUCGAAGCCCCGGUAAACGGCGGCCGUAACUAUAACGGUCCUAAGGUAGCGAAAUUCCUUGUCGGGUAAGUUCCGACCUGCACGAAUGGCGUAAUGAUGGCCAGGCUGUCUCCACCCGAGACUCAGUGAAAUUGAACUCGCUGUGAAGAUGCAGUGUACCCGCGGCAAGACGGAAAGACCCCGUGAACCUUUACUAUAGCUUGACACUGAACAUUGAGCCUUGAUGUGUAGGAUAGGUGGGAGGCUUAGAAGUGUGGACGCCAGUCUGCAUGGAGCCGACCUUGAAAUACCACCCUUUAAUGUUUGAUGUUCUAACGUUGACCCGUAAUCCGGGUUGCGGACAGUGUCUGGUGGGUAGUUUGACUGGGGCGGUCUCCUCCUAAAGAGUAACGGAGGAGCACGAAGGUUGGCUAAUCCUGGUCGGACAUCAGGAGGUUAGUGCAAUGGCAUAAGCCAGCUUGACUGCGAGCGUGACGGCGCGAGCAGGUGCGAAAGCAGGUCAUAGUGAUCCGGUGGUUCUGAAUGGAAGGGCCAUCGCUCAACGGAUAAAAGGUACUCCGGGGAUAACAGGCUGAUACCGCCCAAGAGUUCAUAUCGACGGCGGUGUUUGGCACCUCGAUGUCGGCUCAUCACAUCCUGGGGCUGAAGUAGGUCCCAAGGGUAUGGCUGUUCGCCAUUUAAAGUGGUACGCGAGCUGGGUUUAGAACGUCGUGAGACAGUUCGGUCCCUAUCUGCCGUGGGCGCUGGAGAACUGAGGGGGGCUGCUCCUAGUACGAGAGGACCGGAGUGGACGCAUCACUGGUGUUCGGGUUGUCAUGCCAAUGGCACUGCCCGGUAGCUAAAUGCGGAAGAGAUAAGUGCUGAAAGCAUCUAAGCACGAAACUUGCCCCGAGAUGAGUUCUCCCUGACCCUUUAAGGGUCCUGAAGGAACGUUGAAGACGACGACGUUGAUAGGCCGGGUGUGUAAGCGCAGCGAUGCGUUGAGCUAACCGGUACUAAUGAACCGUGAGGCUUAACCU
rnacentral:rRNA from 1 species